ACGGGAGGCAGCAGUGAGGAAUAUUGGUCAAUGGGCGCAAGCCUGAACCAGCCAAGUAGCGUGAAGGAUGACUGCCCUAUGGGUUGUAAACUUCUUUUAUAUGGGAAUAAAGUGAGCCACGUGUGGUUUUUUGUAUGUACCAUAUGAAUAAGCAUCGGCUAAUUCCGUGCCAGCAGCCGCGGUAAUACGGAAGAUGCGAGCGUUAUCCGGAUUUAUUGGGUUUAAAGGGAGCGUAGGCGGGUCCUUAAGUCAGUGGUCAAAGCGUGUGGCUCAACCAUACCACGCCGUUGAUACUGGGGACCUUGAGUGCACAUAAGGAUGGUGGAAUUCGUCGUGUAGCGGUGAAAUGCUUAGAUAUGACGAAGAACUCCGAUUGGGAAGCCAGCUUACUGUAGCGCCACUGACGCUGAUGCUCGAAAGCGUGGGUAUCGAACAGGAUUAGAUACCCUGGUA
rnacentral:rRNA from 1 species